UUGCCUGGACGACGGCGAGGGUGCGCCAUCAAACCUGCCAGGUUCACCAGGCUCAAGCGCAUGUUCAUUCGACGAUGGAUAUAUAAUGGGUCACAUUUUGAAGAACCUCAGUGACACGCGAAAGUAUAAAUUCUCCAACUGCUGCGUAUCUAUAAUCAAGUUUGCCCUUGGGACGACCGCCUCGCACAAUGCAUUCUAAGAUGUAGGACGCCUAUUGUGAAUGGGAGAUCUUCGUUAAAAGAAACACCAGCCCCGGAUGGCACCAGGUGCGGAACGUCAAAGAUCUGCAAACAUGGAAUAUGUGUUGCGCCAUGAGAAGGUGUGAAGAGGAUGCCAUCAAAAUAAAUCACUUACAGUUAAAA
rnacentral:misc_RNA from 1 species